AUGCAACACAGCACAAACACCAUUUUUGCAAAAUAUUGCAUAAAAAUACAUUUAUAAAUUAAAUAGAAAAAUAUGAUAAUUACCUGUAUUUGUACGAAACCUAAUGGCAUUUUGUGGAAUGCAGAUUCCCAAAAACACCAAAGAUUCAUUCUGUAUUCAUCCUGUUAUAAGGUAUAAAACGUGCAUUUUAUAAGCUUAAAAAAAUGUCAGACUGCUGGUGAACCUUGCCAAUAAGGCCAGAAGUAAGCCAGGAGCCCUCCCUUAUCCUGUUUGUUGCAAACCUCUUAAGUCUUUAAUAAGCAUACAUAGAAGUCAUAGGGACUAAUGUGGAUAAAGUUAUACAAGGAUACAAAAUAUGGAAAAAAUAAUUAUACCCUACAGAAAUCUGGAGAUUCAGCUUCCUAUCUUCAUAAUGUUUCUAGAACACUUAUAUAGUGUUAGACGAUGAUAGAAACAGACAGACAGACAGAUAGAUAUAUAGAUAGAUAGACAGAGAUACAGACAGUCAGAUAGAUAGAUUAAUAGAUAGAUAGAUAGAUAGAUAGACAGACAGACAGACACACAGAUAGACAGAUAGACAGAUAGACAGAUAGAUAGAUAGACAGACAGAUAGACAGAUAGACAGAUA